rnacentral:rRNA from 1 species
UAAUACGAAGGGGGCGAGCGUUGUUCGGAUUUACUGGGCGUAAAGGGCGCGCCGGGGGCCCAUUUUGUCAGGCGUGAAAGACCCGGGCUUAACCUGGGAACUGCGUUUGAUACGGAUGGGCUAGAGUUCGGGAGAGGAGAAUGGAAUUCCCAGUGUAGAGGUGAAAUUCGUAGAUAUUGGGAAGAACACCGG